GCACAGUAUUGUGAAUCACAACGGUUGAUGAGCACGUGAAGGCAGCACAAUCGGUGGUACCGAGUCUGUUGUUACUGAUACCACAGCUGCUCCCGAGAGGACAGAAAACGUCAGUGUGCGUCCGUAAACCUGGUGACCGAGGGCUGAAAUGGCUGUAUGUGCAAGUGCACAUCAUUUUCUUGUUAUGCCAGAUCUGCAGCAGUGUGAGAGGGCAGAAGGUAUAAAAUACCUGGAAUGGAUGUCAGAUUUUGUUUCCAAAUACAAAAACAAGCAUUUCAGCUUGAAGAAUCCAGCUGGUGCCAUGCUGAGGAUAGCAGGGCUGGAGGACACCAUGUACAGAGGGAAACAUGAUGAAGUGAAUGGCUGGGGAAAAUUCUACCUUCCCA